rnacentral:rRNA from 1 species
GCCAGCAGCCAUAUCACCCUGCAACUCACAGCUGGCUGCCCACUGAAGCUCAGCAGGUGUGAGCCUGGUCAGUAGCUGGACGGGAGACCUCCUGGGAAAAACUAAGGUUGCUGCUGGAA